rnacentral:lncRNA from 1 species
AUGUCAAACACCAUACUUUGUGCUUAGACUGGGAAGAUUGAACAGUCUCUGUCCUUUAAGAAGUUGGAGUAUAAAUUGGAGAGUUUGACACUUAACUAGCUGUAAUAUCUAUUAAAGUGCAUUGGUGACAAGCCAUCAAUCUUAAAGGGUCCCUUAAAGGUUUGAGAAGGAGUGGAAGAGGGGAUGGCAACAAGGAAAACAGUAGAAGCAAAGAAAAUGCCCCUAAAUUAGACUGUCCAUUUGUAGUCUAGAUUACUGUAGACUGAUGCAGGUGGAACUUUAAGAGCAAGGAUGGAUGGGAGAUAAGAUAGGAUGA